GACAGAGGUGCCAAGCGUUAGGCGGAAUCACUGGGCUUAAAGCGUGUGUAGGCGGACUUGUAAGUACCUUGUGAAAUCCCACGGCUCAACCGUGGAACUGCUUGGUAUACUGCUUGUCUUGAGCCACUUAGGGGCUACCGGAACAAAUGGUGGAGCGGUGAAAUGCGUAGAUAUCAUUUGGAACGCCAAUGGUGAAAACAGGUAGCUGGGAGUGUGCUGACGCUGAGACACGAAAGCGUGGGGAGCGAACAGG
rnacentral:rRNA from 1 species